UACGUAGGCAGUGAGCGUUGUUCGGAGUUACUGGGCGUAAAGAGUGCGUAGGCGGUUUUCUAAGUUUGGUGUGAAGUCUCCCGGCUUAACUGGGAGGGUGCGCCGAAGACUGGAAGGCUUGAGUAUGGGAGAGGUAAGCGGAAUUCCUGGUGUAGCGGUGAAAUGCGUAGAUAUCAGGAGGAACACCUGCGGUGUAGACGGCUUACUGGACCAUCACUGACGCUGAGGCACGAAAGCGUGGGUAGCAAACAGG
rnacentral:rRNA from 1 species